UCCUGCACGCACACCUGACAUAAACUUUCACGUGCAUGCACGCUUCUUCAGAUACCUGAAGAAGUGUGCAUGCACAGAAAAGCUUAUACCAAGAACAAACUUAGUUCG